AGUUUGAUCCUGGCUCAGGAUGAACGCUGGCGGCGUGCCUAACACAUGCAAGUCGAGCGGAGAUAUUGAGGGAUCUUUAGAUGAUCUCCUUAUCUUAGCGGCGGAUGGGUGAGUAACACGUGGGUAACCUGCCCUGCACAGGGGGAUAACAGCUGGAAACGGCUGUUAAUACCGCAUAUGCACACGCUGCCGCAUGGCAGAGGGUGGAAAGAUUUAUCGGUGCAGGGAUGGGCCCGCGUCGGAUUAACUAGUUGGCAGGGUAACGGCCUACCAAGGUUAUGAUCCGUAGCCGACCUGAGAGGGUGACCGGCCACAUUGGGACUGAGACACGGCCCAAACUCCUACGGGAGGCAGCAGUGGGGGAUAUUGCACAAUGGGCGGAAGCCUGAUGCAGCGACGCCGCGUGAAGGAAGAAGUAUUUCGGUAUGUAAACUUCUAUCAGCGGGGAAGAAGAUGACGGUACCCGACUAAGAAGCCCCGGCUAACUACGUGCCAGCCGCCGC
rnacentral:rRNA from 1 species